rnacentral:rRNA from 1 species
ACGAACGCUGGCGGCAUGCCUAACACAUGCAAGUCGAACGAGACCUUCGGGUCUAGUGGCGCACGGGUGCGUAACGCGUGGGAAUCUGCCCUUGGGUUCGGAAUAACAGUUGGAAACGACUGCUAAUACCGGAUGAUGACGUAAGUCCAAAGAUUUAUCGCCCAAGGAUGAGCCCGCGUAGGAUUAGCUAGUUGGUGAGGUAAAGGCUCACCAAGGCGACGAUCCUUAGCUGGUCUGAGAGGAUGAUCAGCCACACUGGGACUGAGACACGGCCCAGACUCCUACGGGAAGCAGCAGUGGGGAAUAUUGGACAAUGGGCGAAAGCCUGAUCCAGCAAUGCCGCGUGAGUGAUGAAGGCCUUAGGGUUGUAAAGCUCUUUUACCCGGGAUGAUAAUGACAGUACCGGGAGAAUAAGCUCCGGCUAACUCCGUG